GACGAACGCUGGCGGCGUGCUUAACACAUGCAAGUCGAACGGAAAGGCCCUGCUUUUGUGGGGUGCUCGAGUGGCGAACGGGUGAGUAACACGUGAGUAACCUGCCCUUGACUUUGGGAUAACUUCAGGAAACUGGGGCUAAUACCGGAUAGGAGCUCCUGCUGCAUGUUGUGGGUUGGAAAGUUUCGGCGGUUGGGGAUGGACUCGCGGCUUAUCAUCUUGUUGGUGGGGUAGUGGCUUACCAAGGCUUUGACGGGUAGCCGGCCUGAGAGGGUGACCGGCCACAUUGGGACUGAGAUACGGCCCAGAGUCCUACGGGAGGAAGCAGUGGGGAAUAUUGCACAAUGGGCGGAAGCCUGAUGCAGCAACGCCGCGUGCGGGAUGACGGCCUUCGGGUUGUAAACCGCUUUCGCCUGUGAAGAAGAGUGUGUGACGGUAAUGGGUAAAGAAGCACCGGCUAACUACGUG
rnacentral:rRNA from 1 species